rnacentral:rRNA from 1 species
AACGAACGCUGGCGGCAUGCCUAACACAUGCAAGUCGAACGAGACCUUCGGGUCUAGUGGCGCACGGGUGCGUAACGCGUGGGAAUCUGCCCUCUGGUACGGAAUAACAGUUAGAAAUGACUGCUAAUACCGUAUAAUGACUUCGGUCCAAAGAUUUAUCACCUGAGGAUGAGCCCGCGUCGGAUUAGCUUGUUGGUGAG